UUUGAGAUGGUGAGCCAGUAUCUCCAGAGUCACUACAGGUGAUUGUAGAUGCAAUGUUACAGGGACCGGGGAAGCAGUUGUGAAGUUAUGAUGUAGAUGCCUUAAUUACAGAGCCUUAUGCUGACCAUGACCGUGGUUUUAAUAGGUAGUGGGUCAGAUUGACAUAUUCUGGAUAUGACAUGUGUUACAAUGUGAUGUUUGGCAUAGCUAUGGACCAGGUUGUCGAAGUUCUCAACCAUUUCAAGAUCAGAAUUCAACAAGAAGAUAUCUUUAGCAGGUGCCAGAUGUGUGAUGAAAUGUUUACCUGACGAUUCCCUCUUAGGAUAUGGAGUUGCUAUCUCAGCAGAAAGUUCACAUUUUCUCUAGUCAAUUAACUGCAAAUUCUGGCCAGCCGUUGUGCGAAAAUGUCCAGCUACGAAAUGUGUGACUUAUUUGCCAAAUAAAUCAGAGGUGGGAUCAGAGUUUACUGAAUAUGGAAUAGACUAGUUUUCUUUCACAGUGCUGGGAAAUGGUGCUGCAGUACAGACCGAAACUGUGCCACAGUCUGUUUACAGUAAAAUGAACACAUUCUAUUGUUAUGCUACUUAUUCUUGGAAGGGACACAUUUUGAACUUGUCUGUGAACAGUUAUCAAAUGUUCUAGGAAUGCAAUCCAGUGGCCAAACAGCUUUUGAGAAGUUGAAUGAGAAUUUGACUUUAUAAAUGAAAGAAAAUUAAGAUUAGGAUUUAAAUGCAUAGUGUUUGAUCCACAUUUUUGUUUAAAGGGUUUUCAUGGUUUUGCCUUCUAGACGAGACUACUAGAGGAGACAUACUGUUUUUGCCCUGUCUGUCCAUCCAUCUGUGUGUCAAACUAUAUUUCCGAUCAAUAACUGGAGAACCAUUUAACCUAGAACCUUCAAACUUUAAAGGUUUAUAGGGCUUAUAGAGUAGAUAGGUCACAGGAAAUGAACAUGGAAAACUGUUUCUGAUCAAUAUCUUGAGAACCACUUGACUAAGAAUGUUGAAACUUCAUAGCAUGAUGGGACAUGCACAGCAGAUGACUUCUAUUGAUUUUGGGGUUACUCAAUCGAAGGUCAGUGUCACAGGGGCCAGAACAUGGAAGACUUUUUCCAAUCAUUAACUUGAGAACCAUUUGAUCCAGAACCUUCAAACUUCAUAGGGUGAUAUGACUUAAGUAGAUGACCCCUAUUGUUUUUGGGUCACUUGAACAAGGGUCAAGGUCACAGGGGCCUGAACAUGGAAAACCAUUUCUGAUUAAUAUCUUGAGAACCACUUGAUCCAGAAUGUCGAAACUUCAUAGGAUGAUUGGAUAUAUACAGAGUAUAUGACUGCAAUUAAUUUUGGGGUCACAUUAUCAAAGGUCAAGGUUACAGGGCAAGAACACGGUUCAAAUCCAUGACUUGAGAACCACUUGACCCGGAACAUUGAAACUUCAUGGGAUGAUUGGACAUGCCUAUUAGAGGAUUACCAUAAUUGCAUUUCAGUCACUAAGCCAACCAUCAGUGUCUCUUUGAUUUUCACUUUUGUCCCAUUUUGACUUCUUGCCUAUUACUACUAUGCUUUUGGGGAGGGAUGUGCUUUUCUACAAAAGCAUCUAGUUAUUCUUUGUAUAUCAUACAAUACCAUUAAUAUUAUUAAUUAUUCUUUAGAACAUUAAGGUGAUACUAGUAUUAGAAAAUUGCUAAAUUUUCAAACUCAGUAGGGAGAGCAUAGAUGUAUGGAUGGUGGGGUCAUGAGUUCGAUUCCUGGGCAGGGCAUAUGUUCCCCGUGAUGAUUUGAUAAGAAUCAUUGUGUCUGAAAACAUUCGUCUUCCACCUCUGGAUUAUAUGGGGAGAUUGCCAGUUACAUGUAGAGAACAGGUUUGUACCAGUACAGAAUACUAGUUAGAUUAACUGCCCACCGUUACAUAACUGAAAUACUAUUGAAAAAUGACAUUGAACACAAAACAAACAAAAUUUUUCCAAAAUACCUGAGUUAUUUUUGGAUUUUUUGUCAAAAAUGUUUUUGAUUAGAACAUCUUUCUUCAUUACAAACAUCAGAAAGUCUUAAUAUUUUGAGUUUUAAUUAUUUAUUUGUCAACAGGUUAUUGUAAAAUUUUAACGAUUUCUUUGCUAGCUUGAAAGCAACAUUACCUGGUAAAAAUUCUGUAAAAUUUUGGGAAAAAUAAGCAAACAGGAUAUUAACAUGAUAUUGAUAAAUGAAGCUGAAAUUUCAGAAAUACCUUAUGGAUUUAAUGCACCAAGUACUAGUGUGGAUGAAAUUUUAUCAUUUUGUAAAAUAAAUUGAAACUUUGAUUUUAUAUUUUUCAUGUUUGACUCUACAGUAUUUCUGGUUGAGACUUAAAGCAAUUUACCUCCAGACGUAUGCUUCUUUCAUGUUGAAAAAACACUUAAAGAUACAAUGAAGUUUUUCAU